rnacentral:rRNA from 1 species
CCUACGGGAGGCAGCAGUGAGGAAUAUUGGUCAAUGGACGCAAGUCUGAACCAGCCAUGCCGCGUGCAGGAUGACGGCUCUAUGAGUUGUAAACUGCUUUUGUACGAGGGUAAACGCAGAUACGUGUAUCUGUCUGAAAGUAUCGUACGAAUAAGGAUCGGCUAACUCCGUGCCAGCAGCCGCGGUAAUACGGAGGAUCCAAGCGUUAUCCGGAUUUAUUGGGUUUAAAGGGUGCGUAGGCGGUUCGAUAAGUUGGAGGUGAAAUGUUAGGGCUUAACCCUGAAACUGCCUCCAAUACUGUUGGGCUAGAGAGUAGUUGCGGUAGGCGGAAUGUAUGGUGUAGCGGUGAAAUGCUUAGAGAUCAUACAGAACACCGAUUGCGAAGGCAGCUUACCAAACUAUAUCUGACGUUGAGGCACGAAAGCGUGGGGAGCAAACAGGAUUAGAUACCCCGGUAGUC